CCUACGGGAGGCAGCAGUGGGGAAUAUUGCACAAUGGGCGAAACCCUGAUGCAGCGACGCCGCGUGAGCGAUGAAGUAUUUCGGUAUGUAAAGCUCUAUCAGCAGGGAAGAAAAUGACGGUACCUGACUAAGAAGCCCCGGCUAACUACGUGCCAACAGCCGCGGUAAUACGUAGGGGGCAAGCGUUAUCCGGAUUUACUGGGUGGAAAGGGAGCGUAGACGGCGAUGCAAGCCAGAUGUGAAAGCCCGGGGCUCAACCCCGGGACUGCAUUUGGAACUGUAUAGCUGGAGUGUCGGAGAGGAAGGCGGAAUUCCUAGUGUAGCGGUGAAAUGCGGAGAUAUUAGGAGGAACACCAGUGGCGAAGGCGGCCUGCUGGACGAUGACUGACGUUGAGGCUCGAAAGCGUGGGGAGCAAACAGGAUUAGAUACCCGUGUAGUC
rnacentral:rRNA from 1 species